rnacentral:rRNA from 1 species
UACGUAGGGUGCAAGCGUUGUCCGGAAUUAUUGGGCGUAAAGAGCUCGUAGGCGGUCUGUCGCGUCUGGUGUGAAAACUCAGGGCUUAACCCUGAGCUUGCAUCGGGUACGGGCAGACUAGAGUGCGGUAGGGGAGACUUGAAUUCCUGGUGUAGCGGUGAAAUGCGCAGAUAUCAGGAGGAACACCGGUGGCGAAGGCGGGUCUCUGGGCCGUAACUGACGCUGAGGAGCGAAAGCAUGGGGAGCGAACAGG